ACUUACAGGGGCUAGGACUCCUGGAGCAUCUCUUCUCUAAUUCUUCAGCUUUGAAUAUUGUAACUUUGUGUGCUCCAGCUUUGGUACCUUUGUUCUGGAUGCAUGACAGAGAAAAAUUCAAGGCUAUGCUGCAAAAUGUUUGUCUUUCUUCUUUUAAGACUAACAACCAUACCCCAUGCUUUUUUCCUCCUCUCUCUAUGUGCUGUAGCUUUUUCACACCUCUCCACUGAAGAACUCCUUCAGAGGCACUAAAAUGAGUCCUUACUUCUUUGGCGAAGAGGUGGUUAAAAAGGAACAGGACUGUGAGGGGGAGAUGGGGCUGUGGAGCUGAGCAAGGCUGAGUCAAGACAGAACAAAAGGCAGCAUCGGCUGAAGUCAAGGAGAGGACUCCACUUCCUGCAAUACAGCUAAUCCCUCAAAAUGCAGUUUGGAUUUUGCUUUCUGUGGAGCUGAUCCUUACGUGAAGGAAAGGUUACCUUGGGAACAAGGUUAAAUGCAGACAUAUGGGCUUCUCUUUAUGCUUUGGAGAACAGUGGACUGUUGACUGUUUAAUGAUGGGAGAGUGACGUUUGAUGCUGAGAAGGCCCUGCUGGAAGUGCCCUCUGGGAGACAAGGUUCAGCACAAAGGUAGAAAGAAGGAAAGAUAAACUCCAAUAAAGAGUCUCUGAGCAACUGGAUGUCUUGCUGUUUGAAAUAUGCUGAAAUACAAGAUACUGAUGACUGAUGUGGCUUUUUAUUCUCCAGUCAUCUGACUAUAAAGCUGUGCCACUCAAUCCUGCCAAGCCCAGCCCAGCCCAGAUCCUGCGUCAGCUCUGAAUUCAAAACCUCAGCAGCCCUAAGAGCCUUGCUGCAACUUCAGGAGAGGAGCAAUCACCUGCAACAAGGAAAGCCUCUGUAAGUCAGCAUUGAGGAAGGACCUGAAGGCACCCAGCCAUGGCUGUCAGCUGCUGGCAUGUAGCCCUAACCUCCCCCUUUCCUCCAUCCUUGUUUUCCACAGCCCUGCCUCACAUGGCAUAGCUUUAGGUUUUCUAGCAGAAACCCUUACCUGAAUAAGCAGGCUUAGAGGAAUCUGAACACUCCAAUGAAUCUUGAAAUGCUUUGCCUCAACUGUGAAAGGCCACUUUGAACAAAGAGGAUAAUUGACCUUCCCUUGCAUAUUUGAUGCAUAAAUGGUGACUCCUGACUACAAUAUCUGCUUGCUGCUUUUUCUUUCUGUUACCACUGAAGAGGCGCCAUUACCAUGGAAGCAUGAGCCGGGUAAUCUCUAGUUUAUGCUUUGUCAGCAGGGAAGCUGCCUGAGUUCAGGCUGCAGGACACUUGCUGAUGAUUGGGCAAUCCACUUUGUAGGAUUGCCCAACAGCAGAACACAACUUUUCUUUGGAACUUCAUCAGAUUUGAGCUGACAGUUGUCAAUAUGUGAGAUGUAAAUAUGAAGAUUUUAUGGUUGAAGUCAUAAAAAGUUUGGUUUUAAGCUCGAAGCCAUACUUUAGGCAGUAACACAUGAUGCUUCAGUGGAAGGUGUGUCUUUCAAAUCAUACCUUGCUUCUAGCAAAGUAUUUUUUGUAUGUUAUCACAUCAUAUGAAUAAUGUUUAUAUCAUCAUGAGUGUUGUCAUGACCUCAUAUUUACAAGACUAAACUCUGCUUUAUUUACACAUCUGAGAAUAAUUUUGUUUAGCUAUAAUUUCCAUUUAAGCCUAAAAAUAAAUGUUUGUGACAUCUGAGCAUGCGUUUGUUGCUCUGACUACUCUUUACAUUCAGUACUGAGCAUGGAGCCCUUUUC